rnacentral:rRNA from 1 species
UACGUAGGGUGCAAGCGUUAAUCGGAAUUACUGGGCGUAAAGCGUGCGCAGGCGGUUGUGCAAGACAGAUGUGAAAUCCCCGGGCUCAACCUGGGAACUGCAUUUGUGACUGCAUGGCUGGAGUGCGGCAGAGGGGGAUGGGAUUCCGCGUGUAGCAGUGAAAUGCGUAGAUAUGCGGAGGAACACCGAUGGCGAAGGCAAUCCCCUGGGCCUGCACUGACGCUGAUGCACGAAAGCGUGGGGAGCAAACGGG